UACCCGCAGCACAAGUGGUGGUCAUUAUUAUUGGGCCUAAAGCGUCCGUAGCUGGCGUGUUAGAUGCCUGGGUAAAUCGAAGCGCUCAACGUUUCGAAUUCCGGGUAGACCGGCACGCUCGAGACCGGGAGAGGCAUGGGGUACUCGGGGGGUAGGGGUAAAAUCCUGUAAUCCUCCGGGGACGACCAGUGGCGAAGGCGCCAUGCUAGAACGGCUCUGACAGUGAGGGACGAAGCCCUGGGGCGCAAACCGG
rnacentral:rRNA from 1 species